CCUACGGGAGGCAGCAGUCGGGAAUAUUGCGCAAUGGAGGCAACUCUGACGCAGUGACGCCGCGUAUAGGAAGAAGGUUUUCGGAUUGUAAACUAUUGUCCACAGGGAAGAAAAAGACUGUACCUGUGAAGAAAGCUCCGGCUAACUACGUGCCAGCAGCCGCGGUAAUACGUAGGGAGCAAGCGUUAUCCGGAUUUAUUGGGUGUAAAGGGUGCGUAGACGGGAUAACAAGUUAGUUGUGAAAACCCUCGGCUCAACUGAGGAACUGCAACUAAAACUAUUAUUCUUGAGUGCAGGAGGGGAAA
rnacentral:rRNA from 1 species